GGUACCUUUAAAAUCAGUCCAGAGAGGCUGGCAAGGUCAACGUUUAAGCAGGAGCAGACUCCGGGGGAGAGCGUAUUGCGGCGGUUAGCUGCAACUUCCUUCGGUUCCAAGCACCCGUCUGUUUCUGCACAUGCGCUAACCUUCUUGCCUUCGGAGCAAGGAGGUUUUUUUAU
rfam:Paenibacillus sp. HGF7 contig00115, whole genome shotgun sequence.